CCUACGGGUGGCUGCAGUAAGGAAUAUUGGUCAAUGGGCGCAAGCCUGAACCAGCAACGCCGCGUGGAGGAAGAAGGGUUUCGGCUCGUAAACUCCUUUUAGGUGGGACGAGACAGGACGGUACCACCUGAAUAAGUCUCGGCUAACUACGUGCCAGCAGCCGCGGUAAAACGUAGGAGACGCGCUUUAUCCGGAUUUACUGGGCGUAAAGCGCGUUCAGGCGGUUCAAUAAGUCAUAUGUGAAAGCACCUGGCUCAACUGGGUGAGGCCAUGUGAGACUGUUGAGCUUGAGAGAGGUAGAGGCUAACGGAAUUCCGGGUGGAGUGGUGAAAUGCGUAGAGAUCCGGAGGAACACCAGUGGCGAAGGCGGUUGGCUGGGCCUACUCUGACGCUCAGACGCGACAGCAUGGGGAGCGAACGGGAUUAGAUACCCCGGUAGUC
rnacentral:rRNA from 1 species